UACGGGGGGGGCAAGCGUUGUUCGGAAUUACUGGGCGUAAAGGGCUCGUAGGCGGCCAACUAAGUCAGACGUGAAAUCCCUCGGCUUAACCGGGGAACUGCGUCUGAUACUGGAUGGCUUGAGUUUGGGAGAGGGAUGCGGAAUUCCCAGUGUAGAGGUGAAAUUCGUAGAUAUUGGGAAGAACACCGAUGGCGAAGGCAGCCAUCUGGACCGACACUGACGCUGAGGCGCGAAAGCGUGGGGAGCAAACAGG
rnacentral:rRNA from 1 species